UUACUUAAUGAGGUAAUAUUAAAAACUAAAACAUUGCGAUUAAUUGAGAGUCCCCCGGCAGCCUUGUGCUCCGCACAAGCAAGGAAUUUUCUCAUCCUCUAAUGGAAAUUUAUAAUCACUCUAUAGUUAUGACCUUAGCAUAGCAGUUGGGCUGUAAAAAAAACGAAUUAAUUCCAUUAAGGAGAAAGUAUCAUACAUACAAAUACUUACGUUACAACUGUGAUUAAUAAAGCGAGCUAAAUUACCACACUUUGUGGCAUCAAUAA